rnacentral:rRNA from 1 species
GCUUGCUGGGUGGAUUAGUGGCGAACGGGUGAGUAACACGUGAGUAACCUGCCCCUGACUCUGGGAUAAGCGUUGGAAACGACGUCUAAUACUGGAUAUGAUCACUGGCCGCAUGGUCUGGUGGUGGAAAGAUUUUUUGGUUGGGGAUGGACUCGCGGCCUAUCAGCUUGUUGGUGAGGUAAUGGCUCACCAAGGCGACGACGGGUAGCCGGCCUGAGAGGGUGACCGGCCACACUGGGACUGAGACACGGCCCAGACUCCUACGGGAGGCAGCAGUGGGGAAUAUUGCACAAUGGGCGAAAGCCUGAUGCAGCAACGCCGCGUGAGGGAUGACGGCCUUCGGGUUGUAAACCUCUUUUAGUAGGGAAGAAGCGAAAGUGACGGUACCUGCAGAAAAAGCACCGGCUAACUACGUGCCAGCAGCCGCGGUAAUACGUAGGGUGCAAGCGUUGUCCGGAAUUAUUGGGCGUAAAGAGCUCGUAGGCGGUUUGUCGCGUCUGCUGUGAAAUCCCGAGGCUCAACCUCGGGCUUGCAGUGGGUACGGGCAGACUAGAGUGCGGUAGGGGAGAUUGGAAUUCCUGGUGUAGCGGUGGAAUGCGCAGAUAUCAGGAGGAACACCGAUGGCGAAGGCAGAUCUCUGGGCCGUAACUGACGCUGAGGAGCGAAAGCAUGGGGAGCGAACAGGAUUAGAUACCCUGGUAGUCCAUGCCGUAAACGUUGGGCGCUAGAUGUAGGGACCUUUCCACGGUUUCUGUGUCGUAGCUAACGCAUUAAGCGCCCCGCCUGGGGAGUACGGCCGCAAGGCUAAACUCAA